GGACUAGGGCCUCCCUCUGGGGCCCCACACCCAUGCUGGCAAGCAUCAGGAGCAGGGAGAGGCCCAGAACUGUCACUCCCUGGGCACAGUCCCACAGUGUCCUCAACCGGACAGUCCUGUUCUGCCCUUUCUCCUGUGGGGAGGAGCUGGAGGCAGAGAAGAAGGCAGGGCCCAGACCUGGCCAGAGGCAUUGUGCUGCCAGGGACCCAUGUGCCUGCGCAUGGAGCCUACACUCUGUAUGGAGGCUUUGGGUGAGGCUGGGCUGUCUGGGCUGCUCCUCCUUUCCUGCUAAGAAGGACUGGAGGGUAGGAUGGGGGUGGGAGGAGGGGGGCAUCUCCCUGCCUUGGGCCAGGCAGAGCGGGUCAAGUCUCUACCACAAACCACAGGGACUAGGCAGUGCGUGGGGCAGGCCGUAG
rnacentral:lncRNA from 1 species